rnacentral:lncRNA from 1 species
ACCAAAAAACCAAGAAUAAACUCGAACAAAACACAUACUCUAAUCCAAAUAAUGUAAUUAAAAGAAUAACUUCUCCCAGAAAACCAAACAAAAGGAGAACAAAUUCCAAUCCAACCACUCAUUUGAACCACACAGUCCACCCAUAGCAAUUGCACAUAACAAUAGCAAUAAUUAGCAAAAAAAAUCGUGGAACAAAAUAAUUGACUGAUCAACUUAUCCAUGGCAGAAAUUUCAAAAGGAUGCAUAGGAAAAAAUGAGCACUAGUGAUUAAUAAAUCAUGGAUAAACUGAAUAAAAUAUUCAUGGAAGAGUCCUAAGAUGUGAAAAAUUACAGAAAUAGCAAAGCAAUCAAACAAUAAACAGAUGAAUAAGAUGUAAAUAAAACACGAGAAAUAACAAAGAAAUAAGUAGAUAAAAAACAAACAAGGAGUUUUGCAGUGUACAAAAUAUUAAUUCAGUUUUCAGAAUUAUGCAAUAAAACACAAAUAAACAUCACACGUUCAGAUCAACGAGGUCGCCAACUAUUAGCACAUCAUGAAAAAACAGAAUCAAAUCACACCAAAACAUGAUCGAAUUCCAUUUCAAAAACACAUUAAAAAAAAAGAAUCACACUUCAAAAGAGGCAAAUAAUCAACGAAUUAAUCACAACACAGUGCAAAAAAAAAAAAAUCAAUAUGAAAAUGCCAUUCAUGGUAAAAAGGCGAAAAAUGCAGAAACUUCGAAGAAGUAAGUAAUAAACUAUACAACAAACAUGUGAAUGAUUCUUCAGUUAAAUAAGUAUAAUAAACCAACUUGACCCUGUUAGAGUUGGGUAUAGAUAUUCCGCAUAAUCUCUUUAACAAAAAAAAAACCCUACUAGAUUUGGGCAUUCUCUAUAGCAAAACCAAAGUUAAACAGCAGAACCCUGUUAAAGUUCUCGAGAGAGACCAAUGAAACCUCCAACCACAAUGUUAACCGAUAGACCAAAAUCAUCUCAAAAUUAUAGAGAGACUCAAACCCAUCUGAAGAUUCAAUAAUAUCUAGUCUGAAGAUUCAAUAAUAUCUAGAAAAAAAAAAAAAGGGGCUGAGGAAAGCCCGUCUUAGAAAUUCUAGAGAGAGAAACAAAGAGACCAAGACCAACAGAAAGAGAGAUGGAUGAGCGCACCCG